GAUGAACGCUGGCGGCGUGCUUAACACAUGCAAGUCGAACGAUGAAGCCCAGCUUGCCGGGUGGAUUAGUGGCGAACGGGUGAGUAACACGUGAGUAACCUGCCCUUAACUCUGGGAUAAGCCUGGGAAACUGGGUCUAAUACCGGAUAGGAGCGUCCACCGCAUGGUGGGUGUUGGAAAGAUUUAUCGGUUUUGGAUGGACUCGCGGCCUAUCAGCUUGUUGGUGAGGUAAUGGCUCACCAAGGCGACGACGGGUAGCCGGCCUGAGAGGGUGACCGGCUACACUGGGACUGAGACACGGCCCAGACUCCUACGGGAGGCAGCAGUGGGGAAUAUUGCACAAUGGGCGCAAGCCUGAUGCAGCGACGCCGCGUGAGGGAUGACGGCCUUCGGGUUGUAAACCUCUUUCAGUAGGGAAGAAGCGAAAGUGACGGUACCUGCAGAAGAAGCACCGGCUAACUACGUG
rnacentral:rRNA from 1 species